rnacentral:rRNA from 1 species
UACGUAGGGUGCGAGCGUUAAUCGGAAUACUGGGCGUAAAGCGUGCGCAGGCGGUAAUGUAAGACAGAUGUGAAAUCCCCGGGCUUAACCUGGGACCUGCAUUUGUGACUGCAUUGCUGGAGUGCGGCAGAGGGGGAUGGAAUUCCGCGUGUAGCAGUGAAAUGCGUAGAUAUGCGGAGGAACACCGAUGGCGAAGGCAAUCCCCUGGGCCUGCACUGACGCUCAUGCACGAAAGCGUGGGGAGCAAACAGG